CCUACGGGAGACAGCAGUGAGGAAUAUUGGUCAAUGGGCGGGAGCCUGAACCAGCCAAGUCGCGUGAGGGAAGACGGUCCUACGGAUUGUAAACCUCUUUUGCCGGGGAGCAACGCGGUCCUUGCGAGGGCCCACUGAGAGUACCCGGAGAUAAAGCCUCGGCUACCUCCGUGCCAGCAGCCGCGGUAAUACGGAGGAUGCGAGCGUUAUCCGGAUUUAUUGGGUGUAAAGGGAGCGCAGGCGGCGCGUUAAGCCUGGUGUGAAAGCCCGCGGCCCAACCGCGGGACUGCAUUGGAAACUGGCGCGCUGGAGUGCAGGAGGGGUAGGCGGAAUUCCUAGUGUAGCGGUGAAAUGCGUAGAUAGUAGGAGGAACACCAGUGGCGAAGGCGGCCUACUGGACGGUGACUGACGCUGAGGCUCGAAAGCGUGGGGAGCAAACAGGAUUAGAUACCCUGGUAGUC
rnacentral:rRNA from 1 species